rnacentral:rRNA from 1 species
UGGGGAAUCUUGGACAAUGGGGGCAACCCUGAUCCAGCCAUGCCGCGUGAGUGAUGAAGGCCUUAGGGUCGUAAAGCUCUUUCGCCUGUGAAGAUAAUGACGGUAGCAGGUAAAGAAACCCCGGCUAACUCCGUGCCAGCAGCCGCGGUAAUACGGAGGGGGUUAGCGUUGUUCGGAAUUACUGGGCGUAAAGCGCACGUAGGCGGACCAGAAAGUUGGGGGUGAAAUCCCGGGGGCUCAACCCCGGAACUGCCUCCAAAACUAUUGGUCUAGAGUUCGAGAGAGGUGAGUGGAAUUCCAAGUGUAGAGGUGAAAUUCGUAGAUAUUUGGAGGAACACCAGUGGCGAAGGCGGCUCACUGGCUCGAUACUGACGCUGAGGGUGCGAAAAGUGUGGGGAGCAAAACAGGAUUUAGAUACCCCUGGUAGUCCACACCGUAAAA